AGUUGACUAUGAGCCAAUCAACAAAGAGACCAUCCUUUGGCCUGACAGAGCCACAGGAGUCCUAUAAACCUGGGCCUAAUGCCAGGGAAAGGAAGUCAGACAUUGGAAGAGGCCACAUGAAAGCAUGGGCCUCAGCCCUACCACCCCUGGAGCUGAACCUAAAAGGGCAUGAAAGAGGAUGCGAGCCUCAGACAAGAACUCAGCCCCAGCCAACAGCUUGCCUGCAGUCUGAAGCAGGAUCUAGAUGCCUCUUCCAUCCCGGCAGUUCCAUCUUCUGCAGUGAAUAACAAACUAAAGAUUCUACUGACAGUUUUAUAAUCUGCAUACUUGAGGAAAAACUACUUCACAAGAAAAGAAUGCAGAACAAGACUAGUUAAAAUCCAAAGUGUUUUUCUCUCUCAGAACCAAGUGAAAGCCCAUCAGAGAGUCUGAAUACAUAUUAAAAUGUGGGGAAAUGCUGAAAA